AGAGGCAGGUGGUCAAUGGUAUGAGGGAUUUAUUCACAGAGGAUAGGAAUCGAAACGUAUGUUCUUCAUGUAUGAUUACAGCUGGGACAUGACUCCAGUUACCUCACCGAAAAGUUUUGUACUACUACCUGACUACUACCUACUUGGUGAAUUGGAGCAGAUUUGAAUUCUUUCAACAGUUCAAGCUCGCAAUAAUUGAAUGGGAUACAAAUCGUUGACACAAUCUUACCGUGUAAGUUGUGAUGAAAGAUGAAGGCGAUUUUUGAUGGUGUUGUUGGUGAUGGUGGUAAUGGUGGUGGCGGUGUUGGUAGUGGUGAUGAUGAUGGUGGUGAGGAUGAUGGUGGUGGUUGUGGUGGUAGUGGUAGUGGUACAACUACUGCAGGGUGUGUGGAUGUUUACGGCGGUGGUCUUGAUAAUUUGUUGUUAGAAGAUUGUUAUUGUGGUCAACUUAAAAAGGUAAGGGUAAUUUUCGUUUUUCAUCAGUUUGGUAAUUUUCAGAUUUUAACCUUUAUUACGAAUUUAGUUUCAGGACAGUCGAAAAUACUGUGAAGAGAAACAUUUUUCCACAUAUGCUGCACGUAUUAUGGCAGUUGAAUUAAAACACCAUUACUGUUGAAAGCUAUUUCAGUUUGAAAAAAAUGGCUUAAAUUUAUACUGUCUAUAUCAAAUAACAAAAUAUCUAUACAUAUCAAUACGUACGUAUGAGAGUGUAAAAGUUGCGCAUGUGCAAACAAAUAUUUUAUUCAGAUUAUGAACAAGAAACCGUGAAUUCUGUUCAUUUUGAUUUUGGUGUUGUUUUUGUUGUUACAAUUGCACUUCAUUGUUACUUUGGAAUGUGGCUUUGGUUGAUUUUGAUAGGGUUGUAUUUGGUUGGCUUUGUUUUAUUGUUCUUGUUGCUGUUUUGUUUAUUUUGACUGCUUUGUUCUAUUAUUUGUCUAGAUUUGUUUGUUUUCGUUUGUUCUUGUUGUUGUUUCAUAUAAUGUUGUUGCGUUUUACGAGGGUUGUACAUGUAUUGGUACAUGAUGUCAUAGAUGGUUUAUUCAUGGUUUUUGUAAGUUCAUGUAUUCAACUCAUAGUAAUUGUUUUGUAUCUUUUUACAUGUAUAUAUUACUUUAUGUAUAUAUACAAUAUACGCGUAUUUGGAAAUACGAAUUUGUGUCUAUAUAAGUGAUUGGCACUGAUGCAUUUAAAAAAAAAAUUGUCAUUUACAGUGCCACCUCUGUACAGCGGCCUACUGCAGAGCUAUACCAUACCAUUUAAACAACAUUGGACCAAACCUUUGUAGAGCAACGCCUAUCAACAACAGCCAGAAUCUGUGUCUCCCAAAAGGUUGUUAAUAUGACGAGGUUUUACUGUAUCCAGUAAUUUUAAUUGUAAACUCAUGUUUUAUAAACUUUUAUUUUAUGUUAUCGUAAUAACCUUGGAUGUUUCAGGAGAAGAAGAUCCAUGAUCGUAUGAAUGUUUCACAGCUUACUAGAACUUUGCUGAAUGGAAAUGUUUGCAGUUUUCAAGAGAAAUAUUGUUUUAUUGACAAUGUAUUAGAUUUAUCGAAAUGUUUAAUAUAUGGUUUUUUUUAUUGAUUAUGUUGACUGAUAAAAUAUUUCUUUUAGUAAGGAUGAAUGACCUUGUACCACCAGCGAACAGGAUGCCAUUGCAUUAAUGACCUUGACCUUGAGUAUAAUCAUAUCAGAAGACAGUCAGAGGAUAUACAAUACAGGAAUUGGGUAUACAAUACACGGAAUUGGGUAUACAAUACACGGAAUUGGGUAUACAAUAAAUGGAAGUGGGUAUACAAUACACGAAGCUUAAAUUAAUGUACAAAAAUUCAUUUAAGGCAAGAGCGUGACCUCUAAAUUGUGUGCAAGUCAUAUGUAUGGUAAGCAAACCAAAAUCCUAUGUGAUUUAUAACAAGUUCAAGAAUGAUCUGCAAUAUUUAAUGCCGUUAUAAUGACAUGGUUUAUAUUUUCCUAAUUUUGAUACUACCAGUUUUAACUUAGAUUAUUUAUGAGGACGAUAUUUGGUGGUGUAAGCUAAAUUGCAACGGUUUCCUACUUUAUUUAACUAAAGUAUCGAGAAUUUAAUGUGAUAGGCUUCUUAAAAAACAAAUGUGAUUCCGUGUUUAAGAUAAUGAAUAUUUAUUAACUUAACAUUACAUUUUACCAUAAUGAAAAUGCAGCAAUUUGAACAUGUAAAUGAUAGUUGUUUCACAGGUAGCAAGUUGUUAAUGGUGCGGGAUUUGUUUGGAAAAGACAAUACAUUAAUGAUGUGGCUCAGUUACCUACCCUGAAGUUUGGUUUUAUGAAAGUUGACCGGGUAGAUUUUGUCCUUCAAGUUGGUUUACAGGUAGUCAAUGAUAUGGGAUUGGUUGCAGUGGCGUAGAAAAGAAAUGUAUGUACUUCAGUUACGAUAACUGCUAGGAUGACCCCAGUUACCUCCCUUGAAGUGAUGUACUAUUAUGGACAAGAGCAUUUUUUCGUCUUCCAAGGUAGCAGGUGGUCAGUGAUAUGGGUUCUGGCGGAGGAGAGGUAGCUCAAUGCAAACCGCAACUUCUCGGCCCUUUCCGUCAGUCUUCGGGAUAAUUAUGAAUAAUCGUCGAGCUGUUCCGAUUGGCGAAAUGUACGUCUGCUGUGGUGUGAUUCCAGUUACCUCCCUUGAAAAUCUGUUGGGGAAUAAUUAUGUGAUUGGAGCUGAUAUUUUAUCGUUCAAGAUCAAUGUCGAAGUAACAAGAGAUCAUGGCAAGACCAGCAUUGGUGAUCUACGACACAUAGAUAGAAUCCCUGUGAAACUGAAACAGAUUUAUGUUUAAGGUAAUGCUAAUUAAAACAAUUCCUUUUAAUGCAUUUGUACAUAUAUGUAUUUUACCCUAAAUCUGCUGAUUUGGAGUCAUGGAAUUGCCAGUCUUUGACAUUGGGACAGCCCAUUCAAAGUAAAAAUGAUUUCAAUAUCAAAAUUCAAAAAAGAGCAUAUACUGCAUUCCAAGAGAUAAAAAUGGUAAAGGAGCUCCAAUGAGGUACCAAAGCCUAAAAACACAAACUUUGAAAAUCUUACACCAAGCACUUAAAAAAAGAAGAAAAAAUAUAUAAAGAAAAUAUUCAGAAAACAUAUCCAAAAUGAAACUGAAAUCUAUCAAUAUUUAGUGCUAUCCUUAGCCCGUUUUGAGUAAAAAACAUUUUAUAGUUUUUCAUUUUUUGGACAUUUUGCACAUUGAUAUUUUUUUAAACGUCAUUGAGUUAUUUGAAAUUUUGUACACUAGUUAUUAGUAAAGACCUACAUCAAAUGGUUUUAAAUCUUCAGAAUAUGUUUCCUGUCCCGUGAUAUCAAAAUAUUUCAGUGGAGUCCCUUUAAACCGUCCCUUGAACCAUUUGUGAUUCUACUUGAAUAAACAUUGUAUUUUUACAUAGUAAAAAUGUGUACCAAUUUAAUAAUGAAAAUUAAAUGAAAUAUUUUGGCGUCUAAACGAUGAAGCUGUGGACUUGUAUGAUGAUUAAUAUAGAAGUUUUAUGUGGUCAUUGUUAUGUGCAGUGAAUUGUUAUCCUUUACCGGAACAUGGUAUUGCCAUGGCGUUGUCCGUCUUUCCGUCCGUACAUAGAAAUAGCUGAAAAUUGGCAGGGUUGUUUACCUGAAUAGCAAGGAAAUUGUUUUGUUCAAAAUUGACAUUAAAGCUAAUGAAGGCAUGGUGAAUCUGUAAUGUCACCAUAAU